rnacentral:lncRNA from 1 species
AGCUGGGAGCCAAACUGCCUCUGGUGCAAGUCAGUACAAGAGGCGGCACCUGCAUCCCCACCCCACCUCCACCCCAAGACCCCAGCUCUGCCCUCCCUCUCAGCUCUGGAAAGCGCAGCCCUGAGGGGUGCUGCUGUGCUUACCCUCAGGCGGGCCCCACCCUGCACUCUCCGCUCAGCCUCAUGGGGCUGGUGCAGGUCCACCAGGCUCUGCCCAGUGAAGGCACCUUCCUCUGAGGGGACCUCAUGGGAGCCUCAAACCCCAGGGGCAAAGCCUCAAGUUCACAGCUUCUCAGAGGAAGAAUGACACUGGGAGGAACAAUGACGGGAAGGUGCAUGUCUCGGCCACAGCCACCAAGCUCACCACUUGAAAAGCACUUCCUGCUGGGGCCCUCCUGCUACUCCCAGGAGCAGCCGGCCACCUGAGUGGUCUGUCAUGUCCAUGUGGCCCUCCCUGUCCUGCAGCCACAGCUCCUGUAAUGCUUGGGCAAGUAUGCAAUUGCAUGCUACAACUCAGCCCGGGGGACGGGAAAUGCCACCUGAGUACAGGCAGCACGCGGAGCCCUGACUGAACCCCAUGAGCAACUCAGAAAGAGGAAGCCCAGGGCUUGGGGCAGAAGUAGGAGCUCCAUCAGUAGGCAUGCCUGACUUCUGCAGCGAGGGAAACUUGCAGAUGAAGCCAGGAGGCAGGCAGCGCUGCUCUCCACAGCCACUGCCCCCACAGCGUCCUUCCCUCCCACUUUCUGUUUUUAGCAGCUCUUCCCAACCAAACUACCAACCUAGACUCUCCUGACCUCUGCUUCAGGUCUGCAGAACUUACGAUUCUUACUGCCAUUUGGCCCUUUGUGAAGGCACAAGAGCUCUCAAAGCUCAUCUGUAAAUUGACUCGUUGCUACGCGGAUAGAACUGGAGCAGUGGGAAGCCAAGCGGAGUCCUGGUGAUAGCACGCUGGGUGGGGGCUUCUCCCUCUCAGCCUCUCUCUUCUAGGAGCAGCUGAUAAGAAUGCCAGCUGCAGAAGACUGGAAAUGACCCAACAUCCUCGGGGGAAACACACACACAGUGCUCGGCCCAUAUAUGUUCCGCCAAAGACAGAGCCCAAAUAAGAACGAGCCAGCUUUUCAGGAAUCAACAGGGAACAACCUUCAAGAGACUGCCAAGCACAGAGAUGCACACAACAGCGCACCCUGUGCCGCCGCCUGGAAGAUCCUAGCUGAGGCUGGGCAGACAAGGACCUGAUGGUUGAGCCGCGCAUAGCUGUAGCAGGGGACCGCACCUGGCCUCCAGCACUGACGCAAGCAAGACCUAUCACUGACUGGAGCCCAGUUCCUCCUCUGAGAGCAUGAGAAAACCACAAGAUGGUGUCUGUAGAGCAUGAAUGGUGUGCUGGAGACCACGCCCCCAGGGGCCAGGCCACGAGGACCCGCACACUGCACUUUCUGCUGGGCUGCUCUGUGGUCUGUAAGAUCCAUUCAGGCAGGGCAGUGCCCAGCACGGUGCCUGGAGGCAGCCUCAGAGGCCCAUUGAGAGAGGAAGCCGAAGGAGAGCAGCCCCCCGCCUGCCUGUCCAAUUGGGCUGCUGUAAGAUCCUGAGAACUAGUGACCUUCUAGAAUUCCCCGAGACAAGUCAUCAAAUGCUCUCUGAGCACCGACUGCACACAGGUGCUCUACCAAACUCUGGGCCCGCUGGAUGCUGGGAGGGGGCGUUAGGAUCCCUGUGUACUGACCCGGAGGAGUAGACAGAGACAGCCAAGGUCAAGAACAGAAGCAACAGAUAAAAUGCCACCACUGAGGCUCUCACCCAGGCUGCCAGGAAACCCCAGGGGAGGACUACACUUGGCUCAGGUCCAGGGCCACCCCUUCCCCCACAGCUCCUGGGCUCUGUGUGGAGCUGGAGGGACAGGAGUGGGCACAGGGGCCUUCUCAUUGGGCAUUCCUGCAACGAGGGCCACGGUGCAGAGAACCAAGGACACUGUCACCCAAGAAAGAGUCUGGUGACUCUGUGGAUCCCAUGGUAACCACCAUUUAAGGAUGGACACUCACGCUAUGAUCCAGCAAUUCCACUCCAAGCAGCACCUACAGAAAUGCACUCAGAGCAGCUGUAUCAGAACAGCCCCAACUGAAAACAGCCCACGCAGCCACCAACAGAACACC